rnacentral:pre_miRNA from 1 species
AGUAGAAUUUCUGGGUUGUAUAGUAAUUCUUUAUUUAACUUUUUGGAGGAACUGCCAAAUAGUUUUCCACAGUGGCUGCACCAUUUUAUAUUCCUGCCAGCAAU